AACCAAUAUUCAUUUUUCGUCUUCGACACUUCGUCAAAAUAUAGCAAAACUUCUUCUCAUCCCUCCUGUCUCACUCUCGUCUUCUCUUCAUUCUCUUCUCUCCUAGAAAUCUCAACUAUAUCCUUCAACAUCGCGCUUUGGGAAUUUCUCUCUCUCCAGAGUCCAGUCCUCAUUGUCCCUAAUUUCACUUCUCUCUCUGCAAAUCAACCCUAAAUCUUCCAUCUCUAAACCCUCAAUGGAGCCGACACCUUCUUCUACCAAAUCCAAUCACAGCCACCAAAACCCCAUAACCCAGCCAUCAACUCCAGUUCUUAAAAGCCUACCCGUCACCAAACCCCAAGUCAACCCUAAAAGAAUCUCUGUCGGAGCACCCGGACGAAUUCUUCGCUCGAAUCCAAGACUAGAAGCUAAAGAAGAAGGCCUCCACGUUCCUCUUGGCCCCAAUUGAUGCCUCUAGAGAGAGCCUCCUCACGGCUCAUCGAUUACUCAGUACGUCUCUUUCUCGAAAUGGAUUAAUUUGGUUGUUUGUUUUGACAGUGGAUGGUACGAAUCAGUGUUGUUAUCAGGUAUUGCGCUGUGGAAGAUCGGAGUUCAUUCGUUGCUUUUCAAGCCAAUACCAGUGUUGUUAUCAGCUUGGUCUGAGAUGCAGAACAUGACGUUGCCAGGUUAAAGGCUGCAUGCAGAUAAUCAUAGUGUGCAUGUCUUGACACGGUCUAGAUCAAAGGCUGAGUUAAUUGUUCCGGGUAAGAAGUCGGGAACUUUCCAGGAAUCAUAAUUGCAGAGGAGCCAGAGUGGAAAGAUAGCAUUCGAGGUUCAAUUGGUGUUGUAAAUUUGGCUGGAAUGCCCAUUAGUACAAGAUGGACUUCUGUGGUUUACUACCUUUACCUUUCUUUUGGUUAUCCUACCUGUCUUUUUACAGUAAGUAGUGACAAUAUGAAAAGAAGUUCUCGAUAACUCUUGUUUUGUUACUUUAUAGUAAGCAUACAGCAAGUACUCAUUACAGAUAUAGAGAUGGUAAAAGAAAUUAGCAUGCGUACAUCUUUGAGCUUGGGGAUUUUCUUUUAUCUAUCUAAGGACCGCUAGCCACUAUUCGACCAAGGCAUUCUAGCUUCAAAUGGGUCAGUUUGGUCUUACCAGUGGAAGAUUUUUAGCUUUGCAUCACAUCUGCCUUGUUUUUAUUUUUCUCUGACUUUGGGAUCCAUAGUAUGGUAGGCCUCAUGUGAGCUGUACCCGUCCCAAGCCUCCCAGAAAGGUCCCCAAGUCACCUCAUAAGGUUGGAAGUAGUUCUUUUGUUCAUAGUGUACCUUGCUUAUGGAUAUGAUGAUGGCAGUGCUCUAUCAUACAUUCUAGCUUCUUACAAUGACCAGUUGGUUCAUGACACUUUCUUGGCUUUUUGCUCCCUAUUUGUUC